rnacentral:rRNA from 1 species
GUCGACCCCUAAGGCGAGGCCGAAAGGCGUAGUCGAUGGGAAACGGGUUAAUAUUCCCGUACUUGGUGUUACUGCGAAGGGGGGACGGAGAAGGCUAUGUUGGCCGGGCGACGGUUGUCCCGGUUUAAGCGUGUAGGUGUGUGUUCCAGGUAAAUCCGGUUCACUUUAACACUGAGGCGUGACGACGAGGCACUACGGUGCUGAAGCAACAAAUGCCCUGCUUCCAGGAAAAGCCUCUAAGCAUCAGGUAACACGAAAUCGUACCCCAAACCGACACAGGUGGUCAGGUAGAGAAUACCAAGGCGCUUGAGAGAACUCGGGUGAAGGAACUAGGCAAAAUGGUGCCGUAACUUCGGGAGAAGGCACGCUGACACGUAGGUGAAGUGAUUUACUCAUGGAGCUGAAGUCAGUCGAAGAUACCAGCUGGCUGCAACUGUUUAUUAAAAACACAGCACUGUGCAAACACGAAAGUGGACGUAUACGGUGUGACGCCUGCCCGGUGCCGGAAGGUUAAUUGAUGGGGUCAGCGUAAGCGAAGCUCCUGAUCGAAGCCCCGGUAAACGGCGGCCGUAACUAUAACGGUCCUAAGGUAGCGAAAUUCCUUGUCGGGUAAGUUCCGACCUGCACGAAUGGCGUAAUGAUGGCCAGGCUGUCUCCACCCGAGACUCAGUGAAAUUGAACUCGCUGUGAAGAUGCAGUGUACCCGCGGCAAGACGGAAAGACCCCGUGAACCUUUACUAUAGCUUGACACUGAACAUUGAGCCUUGAUGUGUAGGAUAGGUGGGAGGCUUUGAAGUGUGGACGCCAGUCUGCAUGGAGCCGACCUUGAAAUACCACCCUUUAAUGUUUGAUGUUCUAACGUGGACCCGUAAUCCGGGUUGCGGACAGUGUCUGGUGGGUAGUUUGACUGGGGCGGUCUCCUCCUAAAGAGUAACGGAGGAGCACGAAGGUUGGCUAAUCCUGGUCGGACAUCAGGAGGUUAGUGCAAUGGCAUAAGCCAGCUUGACUGCGAGCGUGACGGCGCGAGCAGGUGCGAAAGCAGGUCAUAGUGAUCCGGUGGUUCUGAAUGGAAGGGCCAUCGCUCAACGGAUAAAAGGUACUCCGGGGAUAACAGGCUGAUACCGCCCAAGAGUUCAUAUCGACGGCGGUGUUUGGCACCUCGAUGUCGGCUCAUCACAUCCUGGGGCUGAAGUAGGUCCCAAGGGUAUGGCUGUUCGCCAUUUAAAGUGGUACGCGAGCUGGGUUUAGAACGUCGUGAGACAGUUCGGUCCCUAUCUGCCGUGGGCGCUGGAGAACUGAGGGGGGCUGCUCCUAGUACGAGAGGACCGGAGUGGACGCAUCACUGGUGUUCGGGUUGUCAUGCCAAUGGCACUGCCCGGUAGCUAAAUGCGGAAGAGAUAAGUGCUGAAAGCAUCUAAGCACGAAACUUGCCCCGA